ACGAACGCUGGCGGCGUGCUUAACACAUGCAAGUCGAACGGAAAGGCCCUGCUUUUGUGGGGUUCUCGAGUGGCGAACGGGUGAGUAACACGUGAGUAACCUGCCCUUGACUUUGGGAUAACUUCAGGAAACUGGGGCUAAUACCGGAUAGGAGCUCCUGCUGCAUGGUGGGGGUUGGAAAGUUUCGGCGGUUGGGGAUGGACUCGCGGCUUAUCAGCUUGUUGGUGGGGUAGUGGCUUACCAAGGCUUUGACGGGUAGCCGGCCUGAGAGGGUGACCGGCCACAUUGGGACUGAGAUACGGCCCAGACUCCUACGGGAGGCAGCAGUGGGGAAUAUUGCACAAUGGGCGGAAGCCUGAUGCAGCAACGCCGCGUGCGGGAUGACGGCCUUCGGGUUGUAAACCGCUUUCGCCUGUGACGAAGCGUGAGUGACGGUAAUGGGUAAAGAAGCGCCGGCUAACUACGUG
rnacentral:rRNA from 1 species